UACGGAGGGGGCGAGCGUUAUUCGGAAUUAUUGGGCGUAAAGGGCGCGUAGGCGGCUAGACAAGUCAAAGGUGAAAUCCCUCGGCUCAACUGAGGAACUGCCUUUGAAACUGUCUGGCUUGAGGCCGGGAGGGGGUAGCGGAAUUCCCAGUGUAGCGGUGAAAUGCGUAGAUACUGGGAGGAACACCAGUGGCGAAGGCGGCUACCUGGACCGGUUCUGACGCUGAGGCGCGAAAGCGUGGGUAGCAAACAGG
rnacentral:rRNA from 1 species